rnacentral:rRNA from 1 species
UAAUACAUGCAAGUCGAGCGAACAGAAGGGAGCUUGCUCCCGGAUGUUAGCGGCGGACGGGUGAGUAACACGUGGGUAACCUGCCUGUAAGACUGGGAUAACUCCGGGAAACCGGAGCUAAUACCGGAUAGUUCCUUGAACCGCAUGGUUCAAGAAUGAAAGACGGUUUCGGCUGUCACUUACAGAUGGACCCGCGGCGCAUUAGCUAGUUGGUGNGGUANUGGCUCACCAANGCGACGAUGCGUAGCCGACCUGAGAGGGUGAUCGGCCACACUGGGACUGAGACACG